rnacentral:rRNA from 1 species
GACGAACGCUGGCGGCGUGCUUAACACAUGCAAGUCGAGCGGAAAGGCCCUUUCGGGGGUACUCGAGCGGCGAACGGGUGAGUAACACGUGAGUAAUCUGCCCUGGACUUUGGGAUAGCCACCGGAAACGGUGAUUAAUACCGGAUACGACCAGCCUCCGCAUGGGGUGUUGGUGGAAAGUUUUUUCGGUUCGGGAUGUGCUCGCGGCCUAUCAGCUUGUUGGUGGGGUAAUGGCCUACCAAGGCUUUGACGGGUAGCCGGCCUGAGAGGGUGACCGGCCACACUGGGACUGAGACACGGCCCAGACUCCUACGGGAGGCAGCAGUGGGGAAUAUUGGACAAUGGGCGGAAGCCUGAUCCAGCAACGCCGCGUGAGGGAUGACGGCCUUCGGGUUGUAAACCUCUUUCAGCACCGACGAAGCUCCACUUUUUGGUGGUUUGACGGUAGGUGCAGAAGAAGGACCGGCCAACUACGUGCCAGCCGCCGCCGUAACAC